CCCUUUUCCGAGUGAAUCUCAUCUAUUCAGUCAUUGAACGGGAAGCGACAUUACCACAACAAACAUGGCAGGCUGACGGAAGGAUGCUCAGAGGCGUGGCCUGAGAACGCCUGCCUCCUCGCCCCGCCUCCGGGGCUCUGGAAGUGGCGUCCUCAGUGCUUACGCUGUGCGCUAAGCGGCUCCGGAGCCGAGGCUGGCUGGAGAGGGAGGCAAGCGCGCGGAGGUGGGACCCGCGGCAGCGCUUCCUGAAGGGGGCCGGGUGCACCCAUCCGAGCUGGGGGCGCGGCCAGCCUGGAGAGAGUGCAGGGCGUGGGCGGUGGACGUGCUGUGCCUCGGACUUCUCACCUGUAAAGGGGGGCCCUGGUCCUUCCCAGUUAUGGGGAUGCUUUCCCCAACUUACGGUGGGAUUAGGAGGCGAAGCCUCUGCCCCCCUUCAUCGCCUUUCCCUCACUCCCUUGCUUCUCCCCUCCUCCCCAAAGAGAGGGUGUAGACAGGGCUUGGAGCUGGCAGGGACCCAGGGGUCCAUUUUACAGAUGGAGAAGCUGAGGCCAAGGGUCCAAGGUCAUGGCCGGGGCACAACUCGAACCCAGAUCCCAGAUUCCAGAUCUGGCAUGGGGUUAGGUUUGACAGGGUCCUUGGCUGUGUCCACUGCACACCUGGCAACAGACAGGUUGGGGGAGGGGGCCAUGUGGGACCCACAGGUAAGCGUGCCUUGUUUUCUUCCCAGCCCCGGGAUGGAGGAGCCAGCCCUGCAGAGGAAGUGCGUGUUGGGUGCCCGGAAGAGGAAGACGUCCAGGCCGGCCCAAGAGGUGUCCCAGAAGCUGCCCAAAGCCCCCACGUCCUCGCUGGGCCUGCAUGAGGACCCCAACGCCGAGCAGGAGAUGGAACCGGAUGGCCAGGACCGGCCCCGCAGCAGGGAGGCGCCGGACCUCUCGGUCACCAAGCAGGGGCCAUUGGGAGCAGUCAGCGCCAGGGCCGCCCAAGAGGCCCCCCACGGGGAAGACAUCGGCCUGUUAGACCGCUGGAUCCUGGCCCUCGCACAGAGGAGGGGCAUCCUGUGGCUGCCCCCCUCCGACUUCCAGUUCCCCAAGAGGCUGAUGAGCUCAGGCGCCAGCCAGAAGUAGGGGCGCUGCAGCGCCCAGCUCCUUCGGGACUACCCGUUUGCCCGGUACUCUCGGCACCUGGACGGAGUCUUCUGUGGGCCCAGCUUUGUGUUUAACAGCCACAAGGAGACCGUCUUGGCAUCCAGCCCUUUGAAGGACUGGUCCAAUGGCAAAAAGAUCCUUGAGAGGCACAGCAGGUCCCAGGAGCACGGCGGGGCCGCGGUCAAGACGGAGGCAAGAGUGCAAGGAUCAGUUGAUCGAGUGGGGCCAGCCCGCCCUGGGGCAGAUGGUCAUCCUACUCUGCGGCCCACAGGGCAUCUUGUUGGGCCUGAGGCCCACCCUUGCCAAGAC
rnacentral:lncRNA from 1 species